rnacentral:piRNA from 1 species
UGAACACUUCUCAGCCACUCUUUCUCCA